UCCCUAGGUGCGAAUGAUGCAGUCCUUAAUGAACGCCUUGACUUCCAGUACCCUGCUCCCACGUCUCAAUGCCCGUUUAGAUGAGGGUUUCCCUCUGCCACUUCUGGACAGGAUCCAGCUCUCCAAUACCCUCGUGAAGUUCUACCAGAAUUUCAUGCUGCUUGGAGCAGAUGUUCACUUCCAACCCCAGGCAUGAAAAUAAGGUGAUGAGAGCCCUUCAGCACAAAAUAUGCUCCUCUCACCACUUGCCCUUCCAUGCUCCCCUGCCUGAGCCAAAGACCACGAGUCCUGCCACUGCAUUGCACUGCUGCCUUGGCUCAGACACUCGGAUGGGGCCUCACAUGGUGCUACCAUGAGCUGGGGUGCCCUGCCCUGGGCUGCCCCAUCCCCUCCUCCCUGUGAGCAGCAAUAAAGGUGUUGGUGAUGGGCUA